AAGUUUUUGGGGAGCCAACCCUUACAAACCUUCCUAAAAACUUAAAGAGCUAUUACUGAGUCUCAGCGACUCUUGCCACGAUCAGCUCUUCCCAGAAGAGAAGGAAGACCAAGGAAAUGAUUUGCUCAGGAUGAGAAAUGAAGAUGGUCAUCUUGUGCUCAAGCAAACAGAAGUCCUCUGAUGAUCUCAUCAGCCAAAUGAGGGGUUUUGACCAAGUGAUGCUCUUGAAAGGACUGAAAGAAGAGGAUGUGGUAAAUUGUCUUCAGAGAAAAAGCUUCUCAAAAGAUCUUAAAACAGCUUGAAGAAUGGUCUGGGAUCUUAGGACUGGGAGAUCUCACUGGCACCCAGUUAACCUCCAUAGAGAACAUUUAUCAGAAGCGCUGUCUGGGUAGGGCAAGAAACAUCAUCAAGGAUGCCUCUCACCCUAACCAUGGACCUUUCACCCUCCUUCCAUCCGGCAGGCGUUACAGAAGCCUACGCUCUCGCACUAGUAGACUCAGGAAGAGCUUCUUUCCUGAGGCUGUGACACUCCUGAACGCCACACCACCAAUCUAACCUGCACCUGCUCUUUUACUGCACUGGUCACAGUACUUUACAUACAUGUAUUGCACUACUCAUAUUUUGCACAGACUGCACAUGGUUAAAUCCAUUACACUAUAAACUGUCUAAAGCUGUUACUGUACAAGCACAGUAAACUAUUUCUACAAUAAAUAUAAUUGCACUACUAUUAUUUUGCAUAUAAUAAAUUGUUAAACUAUACUUUUGCACACUCAUUCAACUGUAUUUAUUACCACUGUUCUCAAGUUCCUGCUAUUCAUAAUGUAUAUAUAAUCCUUCAUUGCUCUGUUCAUAAUGUACAUACAAUCCCUACAUUACAUUCAUAUUUAUAUUCUGUAUAUACUCUGAUCAAUAUUGUAUAUAGCAACUCCACUGUAAAUUCUGUAUAUCAUAGCUUCACUUACUCUGCACUUAAGUAUAUAAAACACUAUAUUCUUGCACUUCUGGCUAGAUGCUAACUGCAUUUCAUUAGCUCUGUACUUGUACUCUGCAUAAUGACAAUAAAGUUGAAUCUAAUCUAAUCUAAUCUAAUCUAAUCUUCUGGCUGAGAACAAGCUACACCACAUCAGUGCUGGAUAUCAACCAAAAGCUGUUUCCAGACACGAGAGAAGAUCACGAUGAAACCAGUUUAGAUGUGUUGAUAAGGAAUCAUUAUUUUCUGAAACAGUAUCAAAUGUCUUAUAUGUAUCACAUGAUCUGUAUCACAGUUGACUGGAUGGGACUGUGACUUUUAAGGACAUUUCAUCACUCAUCUGUGUGAACUGAUUAAUAUAUGAGGUUAAUGUAUUUUUGAUUAUGAAUAAUUAUUUUCCUUGAAUCUUAUUUGUCUUGAUGCUACUUUAUCAUCUUUAUAGUCUAUGCUUCAAUAAAAUGAAUAUGACGAA